UAAACGACUCUCGGCAACGGAUAUCUCGGCUCUCGCAUCGAUNNNNNNNGCAGCGAAAUGCGAUACUUGGUGUGAAUUGCAGAAUCCCGUGAACCAUCGAGUCUUUGAACGCAAGUUGCGCCCGAAGCCUUGGCUGAGGGCACGUCUGCCUGGGUGUCACGCAU
rnacentral:rRNA from 1 species